CGCGAGAAAGGAAGGAAAUAAGUAUUCAUCCAUUAAAAAAGAAGGAAGAUUACAAUUUGGAAGCAAAUUAAAACCAAGUCUUAUGCGGCUACAUUAGUUGCAGCCUCUACCUUGCCAAAAGAAGGAACAUUAUCAUCAUUAUUACCCUUCGCAAUAGCUUUCUCUUCUUGAAUCAUUUGUGGAGUACCUGUCUCUUCUCAUAGGGUAGCAGGAGCAAGAAAAAUCUUCCCAGAAUCCCUUCACUCCUUAACAAAUUCAUCCUAAGCCUCGCCCUGGGAUCUACGAUACCGAAGCUACCUUCUUUUCCAAAAAGGCUCUGCAAAUCUACACCGUGAAGAUUGAGAGGGCACCUAAAAGCCUGGAUACUAAGAGUUAGUGAUAUUGGCUUACGCUUUUCUUUUGAAGUCUUCUAGGUCAGCUUCCUUUGUAGCCUUGAAGCUUGUAAGUUCAGCUCCCUUGGUUCUCAGUUCACCCUUUCUUUUAACACUUUGAUUCUUCCCCAGCUUUUUCCUUUGCUAAGACGUCAGUCUCUUUCUUCAAAGCCUCUAAUUGGAUCCUCGCAUCCAUCUCAUGAGCCUCCCUCUCAGCGACCAACUUUUCAGAGUCUACAACUUUCUUCUCCUUACUAUUGGCUUUACUCCAUCUCAGCGAAACUUCUUUUCAAGGAAGCGUAGAACUUCUUCCAAUGUUUAGCUUCCUUUUGUAACGCGGUUCUUGGCUGCAACAUCCUCUACAAAGACUUGCCUUAAACCAUGAAGAAUGAGUUCUAAUUCCCCUGCUUGUACAUCAAUUGUCCCCAUAAGUUCUGCCAUUAUAAGUCGGACAAGUUCACCGCUUCUGCCAGAAGCUUAACCAACAGCUCAUGGUAAGCUCCUAUCCCAGUUGGCAGCCACACCUGCAGGAGUGUAGAGGAACUCCCCCAAAGGGAUUUUAUCUCUCUAACUGUGAAAAUGUUGGGGACAAGAUUUCCCACCAACUUGAAUAACUCCAUGAACGACCUUUGAAGGGACUAAUAUGGAUGGAUCACCGCUAACAAUAGUAGCCGCAUUACAGACAGGAAGGGGUUAGAUUGGUUUAGUUGGAUCAGACUUCUUGAAAAAAAAAUUUCUAUCAUAAUUUAAUUCAGCUUGG
rnacentral:lncRNA from 1 species